rnacentral:rRNA from 1 species
AGUGAACGCUGGCGGUAGGCCUAACACAUGCAAGUCGAACGGCAGCACAGUGAGAGCUUGCUCUUACGGGUGGCGAGUGGCGGACGGGUGAGGAAUACAUCGGAAUCUACUUUUUCGUGGGGGAUCACGUAGGGAAACUUACGCUAAUACCGCAUACGACCUACGGGUGAAAGCAGGGGAUCUUCGGACCUUGCGCGAAUGAAUGAGCCGAUGUCGGAUUAGCUAGUUGGCGGGGUAAAGGCCCACCAAGGCGACGAUCCGUAGCUGGUCUGAGAGGAUGAUCAGCCACACUGGAACUGAGACACGGUCCAGACUCCUACGGGAGGCAGCAGUGGGGAAUAUUGGACAAUGGGCGCAAGCCUGAUCCAGCCAUACCGCGUGGGUGAAGAAGGCCUUCGGGUUGUAAAGCCCUUUUGUUGGGAAAGAAAAGCAGCAGGUUAAUACCCCGCUGUUCUGACGGUACCCAAAGAAUAAGCACCGGCUAACUUCGUG